UGAGUAAUGCCUAGGAAUCUGCCUGGUAGUGGGGGAUAACGCUCGGAAACGGACGCUAAUACCGCAUACGUCCUACGGGAGAAAGCGGGGGACCUUCGGGCCUCGCGCCAUUAGAUGAGCCUAGGUCGGAUUAGCUAGUUGGUGAGGUAAUGGCUCACCAAGGCGACGAUCCGUAACUGGUCUGAGAGGAUGAUCAGUCACACUGGAACUGAGACACGGUCCAGACUCCUACGGGAGGCAGCAGUGGGGAAUAUUGGACAAUGGGCGAAAGCCUGAUCCAGCCAUGCCGCGUGUGUGAAGAAGGUCUUCGGAUUGUAAAGCACUUUAAGUUGGGAGGAAGGGUAGUAACUUAAUACGUUGCUACUUUGACGUUACCGACAGAAUAAGCACCGGCUAACUUCGUGCCAGCAGCCGCGGUAAUACGAAGGGUGCAAGCGUUAAUCGGAAUUACUGGGCGUAAAGCGCGCGUAGGUGGUUCAGUAAGUUGGAAGUGAAAUCCCCGGGCUCAACCUGGGAACUGCUUUCAAAACUGCUGAGCUAGAGUACGGUAGAGGGUGGUGGAAUUUCCUGUGUAGCGGUGAAAUGCGUAGAUAUAGGAAGGAACACCAGUGGCGAAGGCGACCACCUGGACUGAUACUGACACUGAGGUGCGAAAGCGUGGGGAGCAAACAGGAUUAGAUACCCUGGUAGUCCACGCCGUAAACGAUGUCAACUAG
rnacentral:rRNA from 1 species